rnacentral:rRNA from 1 species
GACGAACGCUGGCGGCGUGCUUAACACAUGCAAGUCGAACGGUCUGAUCAGAUGGAAGCCUUCGGGUGGAAGACUGAGAAGAUAGUAGCGGACGGGUGAGUAACGCGUGGGUAAUCUACCUCUUAGACGGGGAUAACACCGGGAAACGGGUGCUAAUACCGGAUGAGUUCUUAGCUUUGCAUAAAGCUAAGAAGAAAGGCGGCUGUAAAGCUGUCGUUAAGAGAUGAGCCCGCGUCCCAUUAGCUAGUUGGUAAGGUAAAAGCUUACCAAGGCGAUGAUGGGUAGCCGGCCUGAGAGGGUGAACGGCCACACUGGGACUGAGACACGGCCCAGACUUCUACGGGAGGCAGCAGUGGGGAAUAUUCGGCAAUGGGGGAAACCCUGACCGAGCAACGCCGCGUGAGUGAAGAAGUUUUUCGGAAUGUAAAGCUCUGUCAUGAGGGAAGAAAGCUAUGUUAUUGAAUAGAUAAGAUAGUUGACGGUACCUGAUAAGAAAGCUCCGGCUAACUACGUGCCAGCAGCCGCGGUAAUACGUAGGGAGCGAGCGUUGUCCGGAAUUAUUGGGCGUAAAGGGCGCGUAGGCGGCCAGACAAGUCAAAUGUGAAAUACAGCGGCUCAACCGCUGGGGUGCGUUUGAAACUGUGUGGCUUGAGUACAGGAGAGGAGAGUGGAACUCCUGGUGUAGUGGUAAAAUGCGUAGAUACCAGGAAGAACAUCGGUGGCGAAGGCGGCUCUCUGGCCUUGUACUGACGCUGAGGCGCGAAAGCGUGGGGAGCGAACGGGAUUAGAUACCCCGGUAG